CACCGCGGUCAAACGGGUAAUGCCCGAGCAGAUGACCAACGGCGUAAAGAGUGGUUAGGGGAGCCCUGCGACUAAAGCUGAAUACCCACAGAGCCGUAAUACGCAUCCGAUGGUGUGAAACCCCACCACGAAAGUGGCUUUAACCCAACCCGAACCCACGACAGCUAGGACA
rnacentral:rRNA from 1 species